rnacentral:rRNA from 1 species
GACGAACGCUGGCGGCGUGCUUAACACAUGCAAGUCGAACGGUAAGGCCCCAGCUUGCUGGGGUACACGAGUGGCGAACGGGUGAGUAACACGUGGGUGACCUGCCCCGCACUUCGGGAUAAGCCUGGGAAACUGGGUCUAAUACCGGAUAGGACCGCACCGUGAGGGUGUGGUGGAAAGUUUUUCGGUGUGGGAUGGGCCCGCGGCCUAUCAGCUUGUUGGUGGGGUAAUGGCCUACCAAGGCGGCGACGGGUAGCCGGCCUGAGAGGGUGGACGGCCACAUUGGGACUGAGACACGGCCCAGACUCCUACGGGAGGCAGCAGUGGUGAAUAUUGCACAAUGGGCGGAAGCCUGAUGCAGCGACGCCGCGUGGGGGAUGACGGCCUUCGGGUUGUAAACUCCUUUCACCAUCGACGAAGGUUUUCUGACGGUAGAUGGAGAAGAAGCACCGGCUAACUACGUG